rnacentral:rRNA from 1 species
AUUGAACGCUGGCGGCAUGCCUUACACAUGCAAGUCGAACGGCAGCACGGGAGUAAUCCUGGUGGCGAGUGGCGAACGGGUGAGUAAUAUAUCGGAACGUGCCCGGUCGUGGGGGAUAACGUAGCGAAAGCUACGCUAAUACCGCAUACGAUCUAUGGAUGAAAGCGGGGGAUCGCAAGACCUCGCGCGAUUGGAGCGGCCGAUAUCAGAUUAGGUAGUUGGUGAGGUAAAGGCUCACCAAGCCGACGAUCCAUAGCUGGUUUGAGAGGAUGAUCAGCCACACUGGGACUGAGACACGGCCCAGACUCCUACGGGAGGCAGCAGUGGGGAAUCUUAGACAAUGGGGGCAACCCUGAUCUAGCCAUGCCGCGUGAGUGAUGAAGGCCUUAGGGUUGUAAAGCUCUUUCAGUGGGGAAGAUAAUGACGGUACCCACAGAAGAAGCCCCGGCUAACUCCGUGCCAGCAGCCG